AAGUCGUAACAAGGUCUCCGUUGGUGAACCAGCGGAGGGAUCAUUACCGAGUUUACAACUCCCAAACCCAAUGUGAACGUUACCAAACUGUUGCCUCGGCGGGGUCACGCCCCGGGUGCGUCGCAGCCCCGGAACCAGGCGCCCGCCGGAGGAACCAACCAAACUCUUUCUGUAGUCCCCUCGCGGACGUAUUUCUUUACAGCUCUGAGCAAAAAUUCAAAAUGAAUCAAAACUUUCAACAACGGAUCUCUUGGUUCUG
rnacentral:misc_RNA from 1 species